AACUGAAGUGUGUUCUGUGGAACACUAGUCCUGUGAAAUGCCCUGUUCAACAAGGUUUGGUGAUUUUCUGGUGGCUCAGACCCCAAAUUUAGGAGUAUCCUUAAUUGUCUCACCAGCAGGUAUUUAUUGGGUGUCUACCAUAUGCCAGCCAUACCCAAACCCCUGUCCCCCAGAGCAGUUAUUCAGUGGGGGAAGCACCAAAUAUAAGCUACAGAGUGUGGUAGUUCAUAGAUGGAGACCAGGGGUGGAAGUGAGCAGGGGAGUGGCAGUGCUGGGAGGUGGUGUCUUUAAAAUAGGGUGGGUGGGAAAUUAAGCAUGGACUUGAAGGUGAAGAGGAAAGGAAAUAGGCCGCUAUGUAGCGCAGAGGCCCCGAGGCAGGAGUGCAAAUGAAACAAGUUGGUGGGCGUGGCUGAAGUGGCUUACAUAAGGGGCGGAAGACAUUGAGGUUGGGUGGGCUAGGUGGUGGAGAACCAUGUAGGCCAUCAAGUUUGGGCUUUGCUCUUGAAGAAUUUGGAGGGCUAUGGGUGCAGGUGUGGCGUGAGUGUGAUCAGACUCUGGCUUUGCAGCCUCUGGCUCAGCUGGUGGAGACAGCAGGAGAAACGGCCAGAGGCAGGAAGCAGCUGGAGGAGUCUGGUUUUUUUUGUUUGUUUUAAGCUAACGGUCUUACUGGACCAGAGGGGUCUUGGAAAGGAACUGAGACCCUUAGUGUGAGGUGCUGCUCUGUGCCACAGCUGGCGUAGACACAGGGCACUGGCCCGAUGGUGACAAAAUGCCCCUGGCCAUUGUCACUGUCUUAUAGAUGAAGAAACUGAAGCACAGAGGCAUAGCACUUUGCCCCACGGUCCCUGGUCUUUAAGACAGAGCUGGACUGGAGUCUGAGGGGCUGGGCUCCCUGCCCUUGCAGGUCUGUCCUCUGCCUCCUGGACAGAGGUGGGCUGGGCCUGGGACUCAUGACCCUGCAGCAUCUGACCGGCUGACCCAGUGUCCUAGAAAGAACCAUUCUUGUCCCAGGUGCAUGUAAUUUAUUAAUGGAGCUUUGACAGUCACAAGUUCCAGCAAGUCAGGGGUGGGGGCUGCAGGGUGGCCUCUUGCCCUGUAACCACAGUCAUCAAAUAUGCCUCGCCAUCUUUGAGGGGCUUUCCUGAGAUGACAGAUUCCUUUCUGGCACUGUGUAGCCAACUGGAGUCACAGACCUCAGCCUGGGCCAAAUGAGCAUUUUAGGGAGAAGGACAAUCCCUUAUAGCUUAGCCCUAGGGGAGCUCUGGGCAGGGUUUUACACAUUCUUUCUGAAAGUAAGGUCAUUUGGGGACAGGGCUGAGAGCAGUUUCUUGGCUACACAGAUGGGUCUGUCAGGGUUGAAGCCACAUGGGUGCCUGCUCAUGUGCCAUGUUGAAGGAGUCCCUGUCCGCCUCUCAGCAGCCCGCAUGGGCUUUACUGGUUGGCCUUACACUCAAACAGGAAAUCCCUGGGUCUCAGGUGGAGAGUGCCGUGCCGUCCUGCCUGCUCCCCAGGGCCCUCACAGGACACAGCAGGUGCAGGACACAGGCCCGUGCUGCUGCAGCUGCUGCUGGAGCUGCUCCUUCUCCAUCAUCAGCGCCUUCAUCUUCUCUUCCAGCUUGCCCAGCUCCACCAGCCACCUCUGAGGGGACAUGGGAAAAGCAUGUGGCCAAGCCCGCCUGGUCUCGGGCCUGUCCGUCCUCCACCUGGGGCCAAACUGAGGGAGGAAGGCAAAGCCCAGGAGCCUGAGAGCUUUCUCAGCUAGGGGAAAAGUCAGGCCCCUCGGCCUGCUGCCACCUUCAACCGUGUCAGCCUGAGGGAAGCUGCCGGCUGCCAGCCAUGGAAGGGAGCCUCCUCCGUGCUGGGCAGGCCAUGUGCCUCCUCACUGUUGGUCCCUUGUCCUCCAUUCUCUGUUUCCCUCUUGAAAAAGCUCUUCCUUGGGACUGUGUCUUGCCCCCUCUGCCGCUUUAGGGCCUCCCCUAAAAUGCAGUGUAUAGUCUUUGGGGUUUUCUGGUGACAUCUCAACAUUCCAGUCUCUCUGCUCCCUCACUCAAGAUCGAGUGUGUUAACUGCCCAAGUAGAGGGUGAGGGGUUUCAGGCACCCCUGAAGGGAGGAUACUGCAUAGGAUUUUUUUUUUUUUGAGAUGGAGUCUCGGUCUGUCGCCCAGGCUGGAGUGCAGUGGCGCGAUCUCGGCUCACUGCAACCUCCGCUUCCCAGAUUCGAUCGAUUCUCCUGCCUCACCCUCUCGAGUAUUUGGAACUACAGGCGCCCGCCACCAUGCCCAGCUAAUUUUUGUAUUUUUAGUAGAGACGAGGGUUCACCAUGUUGGCCAGGCUGGUCUCGAACUCCUGACCUUGUGAUCUGUUCGCCUCAUCCUCCCAAAGUGCUGGGAUUACAGGCGUGAGCCACUGCGCCUGGCCACUGCAUAGAUUUUUAAAAGGAGAGAGCUUGGGCCUCUUCCUUCCCACCAGCCACCUACCCGCGGAGUAUGGGAUGUGGUGUGAUUGUAUUCCAACCCCUUGGGUUCAACGGGGUGAUGCAGGACCCAGGGAACCAUGGUGGCUUGCCCUGGGCUGCUCAGUGGGUGGCUGAAGGGGUCUGGGGUCAGCUCCGCUCCACCCCACCCACUGGCCUCAGCUUCCGUACCUGCCUGCACCACUCCUGGAUGGCGCUGGCAGACAGCGGGCCCUGGAUGCUCCCGUCGCGCCGCAGAAACACCUCCCCCUGGUCUGUCUGGUAGAGUUGCGGCUGGCUCUGGGCCUUGGGGGUGUGCACGGUCAGGCGGAUCACCUUGGUAGGGGCAACAGCAGCUCUGGAGGCGCCGCCCCUCACGGUCGGCAGCCCCCAUCCUGCCAGGCUGCUCAGCAUUGCUCACUGAUUCCUUAGGGCAGGCCAGCAGGGCUGGCACAGGGGCCAUCCCCAGCCUCUUCUCCUGUGGCCCCCAGUCCCGUCCCUGCCCCAGCACUGCCUGGCAGGAGUGCAGGCCAUCGUCUUACUGAGUGAUGACAGAUGACAGGCCCAGAGGCCCUCCUGUCCUGCAGGCUCACCUUGAGGGGGACGCUGGUCUCCGAGGUACUGAUCACAGGGAUGAAGGUGAGAGUGUAGGCAUCGGGAAAGAUCUGAGGCUUGAAGCCCUGCAGGAUGGAGUCCACCAGCAGGCGUGCGCGGUCCUCGUCACGGUGGCUGCAGCGGAUGCCCUGCACCAGGCCGCUGUCCUCUACUCCCACGAGCAGGCUGCCGCCCUCGCUGUUGAGGAAGGCGCACACGUAGCGCCGCACGUGGUGCUUGAAGGCCAGGCUGAGGUACUCGCCGCUACCCCGCUUGAACUCCAUAUUGCGGGUCUCGCUGCCCAGGAAGGCACCCUGGAAGAGCUGGUCCUUGCCCACGAUCUGCUGGUGCACAAUGGCACUGUCGGAGCACACGCCGCUGGGCCGGCCCUGGCAGCUCUGCAGCUGCUGGGCCUGGGGCCUAUCAGGCAGCGUGUGUGUAGGCCAGGUGGGCAGCGGGACACCAGAGCCUGGACUGGGGCCAGGGCUCAGGCCACUGUCCUCCUCCUCCUCCUCCUUCUCCUAGGGUGGUAGUCAAGAAUGAAUGUAUGGGUCCAGCCAGGAAAUGGGAGCCCUGACCCUGAGAAGGACUGCAAGAACCCCCAGUCAGGCCCCUGCUGCAGCCUGACUCUUACGGACAUCCUGAUGCCCCUCACCAGGCCGAGGGGCCCAGUUCUGCCCACCCUCCUGCAGCCGAGGCAGGAAACCCUGCUGGAUCGAGGGUUCCAGUCAGCGCUCCUUUCCCUGCCAAGCUGGGCCCUUCCCAGGUGAGGCUCUCCACACAGGUUCCUACUGAGAGGUCAGGCAGCAGCACCUACGUGUUUGCGAAACAGGUCAGCGUGGGGUCCAAGCUGAGGAUCAGCUUCCCGGACAAACUGCAUCACAUCCUCGACUGUCCAUGAGGAGGGGUCCCGGCCACUCAGUCGAGAGGCAUCGCGGCUCUCCAGAAACACUUCAAGGAAGCUGGGGUUGAUGAGCGACGGAGUCUCACUCUGUUGCUCAGGCUGGAGUGCAGUGGCACAAUCUUGGCUCACUGCAACCUCUGCCUCCUGGGUUCAAGCAAUUCUCCUGCCUCAGCCUCCCGAGUAGCUGGAAUUAUAGGUGCACACCACCAUGCCCAGCUAAUUUUUGUAUUUUUGGUACAGAUAGGAUUUCACCAUGUUGGCCCAGCUGGUCUUGAACUCCUGACCUCAAGUGAUCUGCCCACCUUGGCAUCACACAGUGCCGGGAUUACAGGCAUGAGCCACCGCACCUGGCCUAGUAGUAUUUUAUUAAUGUUAAAUUUCAUUAGUUUUUUUUUUUUUUGAGACAGAGUCUCGCUCUGUCGCCCAGGCUGGAGUGCAGUGGCGCAAUCGCUGCUCACUGCAAGCUCCGCCUCCCGAGUUCACGCCAUUCUCCUGCCUCAGCCUCCUGAGUAGCUGGGACUACAGGUGCCUGCCACCACGCCCGGCUAAUUUUUUUUUUUUUUUUUGUAUUUUUAGUAGAGAUGGGGUUUCACCAUGUUAGCCAGGAUAGUCUUGAUCUCCUGAUCUCACGAUCCACCCGCCUCAGGCUCUCAAAGUGCUGGGAUUACAGGUGUGAGCCACCGCGCCUGGCCUCAUUAGUUUUUAUUUAUGUUAAAUUUCUUAAUCAUAAUAAUACUAUUAUGUUCCUUAUUCUUAGGAGAUAAACACAAAAGUAUUUAAGGAUAAAAUCUCUCAUCUGCAGUUAACUCUCAAAUGGUUCAGUAAAUAAAUGAAAAACAUUUUAAAUAUA
ensembl:lncRNA SLFNL1-AS1 SLFNL1 antisense RNA 1